GGCCCCGGCCAUGCUGGAGGGUGUCUAUGGGAGGGGACGCUGUAGCCCCUGGAUGAGGUGCGGCCAGAGCGAGCGAGGAGGCUGUGCGGCAGCUGCAAGCCUGGGUGUGUGAGAUGCAGGGGCCUGGGGGGUGGAGGCCGCACUGGAGGCCACAGGGCCACCCUGUAUUUGGUGAGGCCGCCCACCGGAUGCUGCUUGGGCUGAUGCCGCUUCUCAGAGGUGCUGCUGCUCCGCAGGCCCUUGCUGGACCCGUGCAGCUUCUCACCAGACCAUGGUGUGUGGCCGUGCCAGGCAUGCUGAUCUCCGAUGCCAGGCAUGGUGCUCACUGCGGCAGCCUGCUGUUGGCCAAGGACUUUGCUCGUGACACUUUCUCACCAACACUGAGGUGGCCGCACCGCCUCUACCCCAGCCUGAAGGUGAGCACGGGGAGAGCUGGCCACCACGGGGGCAGGUAGCCCAUAUCCUUCCUGCCUGCUGCCCCAGGAGCCAGUCCCCUGUCCCACUCAGCCCUGCCGAGCCCACAACCUCCAGACCGGACUACCCCUCCCUGCCUGCGGGAGCUGUCCGAGCCCGGAUCUGCCUCGUGUCCCGGCGAGGAGGGCCAUCCCCAGGAUCGAGCUGACCACUGAGGACGGCGCCUCUGUCACCUGUGACAUCCAGCUGGCCUCUGGCUCCACGGCAUUCUGGCCGGUUUUCUGGGUGACAACAAAGCUGGGGAUGAGCUGAUGCUGCUGGAUGCACAGUGGCCAGCAGCCUGGAGAUCACCCUCCGCUGGCAGGUAGGUGGCAACUGUAGGGCCAUGGAGAAGACUCAACAGGUGUGCCUGGGACAGAGUCUGCCUUCGGGGCCUUCUCCCAGGAUCUCCACUCAGCCUGGGGAAGUGCUUCCGGGUGGGGAGUGCAAGACUGGGCCUGGACCCUACGGAGGCCUCACGGCAGGUAGACCCCGGGCCAAAAAACAGCCCUUGCCCCAACCUAAUCUGUGCCCUUCCUCUGAGCUCCUCCCA